rnacentral:rRNA from 1 species
GUGUCAGCAGCCGCGGUAAUACGUAGGAUCCGAGCGUUGUCCGGAAUUACUGGGUGUAAAGGGCGUGUAGGUGGAGCUUUAAGUCGGUGGUGAAAGCCUGCAGCUUAACUGCAGAAUUGCCAUCGAUACUGGGGCUCUUGAGUACGGCAGAGGGAAAUGGAAUUCAUGGUGUAGCGGUGAAAUGUGUAGAUAUCAUGAAGAACACCGGUAGCGAAGGCGGUUUCCUGGUCCGUAACUGACACUGAGGCGCGAAAGCGUGGGGAGCAAACAGGAUUAGAUACCCCAGUAGUCC